AUUGAACGCUGGCGGAAUGCUUUACACAUGCAAGUCGAACGGCAGCACGGGGGCAGCCCUGGUGGCGAGUGGCGAACGGGUGAGUAAUACAUCGGAACGUGCCCGGUCGUGGGGGAUAACGUAGCGAAAGUUACGCUAAUACCGCAUACGAUCUGAGGAUGAAAGCGGGGGACCUUCGGGCCUCGCGCGAUCGGAGCGGCCGAUGUCAGAUUAGGUAGUUGGUGGGGUAAAGGCCUACCAAGCCGACGAUCUGUAGCUGGUCUGAGAGGACGACCAGCCACACUGGGACUGAGACACGGCCCAGACUCCUACGGGAGGCAGCAGUAGGGAAUUUUGGACAAUGGGCGCAAGCCUGAUCCAGCCAUUCCGCGUGAAGGACGAAGGCCUUCGGGUUGUAAACUGCUUUUGUACGGAACGAAAAGGCUCUGGCUAAUACCUGGGGGUCAUGACGGUACCGGAAGAAUAAGCACCGGCUAACUACGUG
rnacentral:rRNA from 1 species